rnacentral:rRNA from 1 species
GAUGAACGCUGGCGGCGUGCCUAAUACAUGCAAGUCGAGCGAACGGACGAGAAGCUUGCUUCUCUGAUGUUAGCGGCGGACGGGUGAGUAACACGUGGAUAACCUACCUAUAAGACUGGGAUAACUUCGGGAAACCGGAUCUAAUACCGGAUAAUAUUUUGAACCGCAUUGUUCAAAAGUGAAAGACGGUCUUGCUGUCACUUAUAGAUGGAUCCGCGCUGCAUUAGCUAGUUGGUAAGGUAACGGCUUACCAAGGCAACGAUGCAUAGCCGACCUGAGAGGGUGAUCGGCCACAGUGGAACUGAGACACGGUCCAGACUCCUACGGGAGGCAGCAGUAGGGAAUCUUCCGCAAUGGGCGAAAGCCUGACGGAGCAACGCCGAGUGAGUGAUGAAGGUCUUCGGAUCGUAAAACUCUGUUAUUAGGGAAGAACAUAUGUGUAAGUAACUGUGCACAUCUUGACGGUACCUAAUCAGAAAGCCACGGCUAACUACGUG